rnacentral:rRNA from 1 species
AUUGAACGCUGGCGGCAGGCCUAACACAUGCAAGUCGAGCGGAUGAGUGGAGCUUGCUCCAUGAUUCAGCGGCGGACGGGUGAGUAAUGCCUAGGAAUCUGCCUGAUAGUGGGGGACAACGUUUCGAAAGGAACGCUAAUACCGCAUACGUCCUACGGGAGAAAGCAGGGGACCUUCGGGCCUUGCGCUAUCAGAUGAGCCUAGGUCGGAUUAGCUAGUAGGUGAGGUAAUGGCUCACCUAGGCGACGAUCCGUAACUGGUCUGAGAGGAUGAUCAGUCACACUGGGACUGAGACACGGUCCAGACUCCUACGGGAGGCAGCAGUGGGGAAUAUUGGACAAUGGGCGAAAGCCUGAUCCAGCCAUGCCGCGUGUGUGAAGAAGGUCUUCGGAUUGUAAAGCACUUUAAGUUGGGAGGAAGGGCAGUAAGUUAAUACCUUGCUGUUUUGAUGUUACCAACAGAAUAAGCACCGGCUAACUUCGUGCCAGCCGCCGCCGUAACAC